rnacentral:tRNA from 1 species
ACACUGGUGGUUCAGUGGUACAAUUCUCACCUUCCAUGCGAAAGAUCUAGGUUCAGUUCCUGGCCGAUGCU